GUCGAUCAGCCGCAGCAACAUUUUUCUCUUUCCGCUCUCUUCUCCGCCUUCAGAAAGAAAGAGUGAAGGAUGAUCCGAGAGAGAGGAAGAACAGGGAACGGGAAGACGAAGAAGAAUUUGAUGCACCGAGUUGAGAUUUCAUGCAAAAAAGUGUGGGCUUCAUUGUCUUGCUGCUGUUCCGUUUGUUGCUUUGUACUGUCUACGUUUCUUAUUCAGGAUACAUGAUCAAAUCAUGGCAAGAACAGCUGUGAUGCCUAAACAAGGGACAAGCAGGAGAAGUCUACAGUUGCGAGCAGAUAAAAGUGUUAGUAAUUCUGAUUGUGUGCAAUAUGUGUCAGAACAAAGUCAUAAAAACAAGCGGAGAAAACCUACAUCUGCUAUAAAUUUCAACUGUGGUGCAAGUACGUCCAGCAAUCUGGAAGUCGAAAUAGCUGCUUCACACGGAAAUAGUGUUGGACAAGCAUCAUAUCAAAGAAGAAAAGGUGGCCCUGCAAAGUAGACUUUUGGGAUUUUGGGGUUUUCAGCAAGACGACGCAAUCUCUCACUAGCUCUCCCUUUUUAACUCUACAAUUGUGCAUAUAUGGCCAUGACUGCUCAGACCCAGGAAUAGCUCCUUGCCGCCCAUCUCAAAUAGCAAACCAUCGAUGUGAUGCUUUUAUCAGGGUAUUUUGUGAGCAAGCUUUUGAAUCUGCCAUCACAUUAUGCAGCUGGUUUGAUAUUGGUUGCGUGCUGCGCGGUGGGAUAUGCAGCUCUGGAGUUUGCCAAGUAGGGGGUUAAGCCAGGCGAACUAGCAGUAAUUUCCAAAGAGGCGGUAUGGUAAAUUUCACUUUGUUUAUAUCUAGUUGAUUGUGGAUUUUGAGAUAUUUUAUUCCAUUAGUUCUCAAUUUUUUGAAGAGUACAUCAGAAAAUAGUUUAUAUGCAUGAUGACUGCCCACUUUUUACAUUAUUGAAGAUAUAACUUUCAUCAUUUAUGUGGAUGCCGUGCUUACUGAUUGUACUUUCUGUACAGACUAAUCACUAUACUUUAUAUUAUAGCUGCUGUUUCAAAUCUUUUUAUUUAUAAUGGCUGUUGGUAUGUUGUUUUUAUAAAUAAAAAAAAUUAUGAAUCGAUUCUUGUGUAACUGGAUGAGCUGUGAAUUUAUUCGAGAUGCGAUUUAGCCGAUUUGAUUUUUAAGUUCAUGUGCACUGCAACCAUAAUCCUUUUAGGCUGAUUGGACUUGGGUUAUCUAUUUGGAAAUUUGCCACAGCCGGGUGUGGUAGUAUGCUGGUUGGAGUCGGUGAGGCAUCUUUGAUAAGUCUUGCAGCUCCGUUCAUUGAUGACCAUGCCCCUGCAGAUCAGGUUGAGAUUGAAGUGUAAAGCUUGGAGCAGCUCAAGUCAAGUAAGCUCAGAGAUCAUUCUGAAAAAGAAGUUGGAACUAGAAGACAAGCUGUUGGAUGCUCCACCAGACACACUAGGUGCUGCUGCCUUGGCACUACACUAUGCAAGUUUGGGAGAACGUUAGUGGCAAAGUUUCUCUCGAUCGCUACUAUUUGAUUGUAUCAGCUUUUGCUAUCUUUCAAUGUAAUUAGCUAGAAUGCAGCAGCCAUCAAGCUAGCUAGAAUGCCUUUUGGAUACAUGAAUGUAUAGACGAUUGACAAAUGCUAGUUUUUUUUGUAGUUGACAUA